rnacentral:rRNA from 1 species
GUUGUUAGCGAGAGCCACAAAAAAGCGAAUUCCAAUAUAUGUUUUCUGCUUUAUGUGCGCAUCCUCUACCUAUUAAGUGUUAAUUAAAUUAAAGGGUGCUUUUUAGCUCUUCUGCAACUAAUAUAAAGUUGGCUUUGCUCUGGCUUGGCUAUCAACACCA